rnacentral:rRNA from 1 species
UGGGGAAUAUUGGACAAUGGGGGCAACCCUGAUCCAGCAAUGCCGCGUGUGUGAAGAAGGUCUUCGGAUUGUAAAGCACUUUCGACGGGGACGAUGAUGACGGUACCCGUAGAAGAAGCCCCGGCUAACUUCGUGCCAGCAGCCGCGGUAAUACGAAGGGGGCUAGCGUUGCUCGGAAUGACUGGGCGUAAAGGGCGUGUAGGCGGUUUACACAGUCAGAUGUGAAAUCCCCGGGCUUAACCUGGGAGCUGCAUUUGAUACGUGUAGACUAGAGUGUGAGAGAGGGUUGUGGAAUUCCCAGUGUAGAGGUGAAAUUCGUAGAUAUUGGGAAGAACACCGGUGGCGAAGGCGGCAACCUGGCUCAUGACUGACGCUGAGGCGCGAAAGCGUGGGGAGCAAACAGGUUAGAUACCCUGGUAG